rnacentral:rRNA from 1 species
GACGAACGCUGGCGGCGUGCUUAACACAUGCAAGUCGAACGGAAAGGCCCUGCUUUUGUGGGGUGCUCGAGUGGCGAACGGGUGAGUAACACGUGAGUAACCUGCCCUUGACUUUGGGAUAACUUCAGGAAACUGGGGCUAAUACCGGAUAGGAGCUCCUGCUGCAUGGUGGGGGUUGGAAAGUUUCGGCGGUUGGGGAUGGACUCGCGGCUUAUCAGCUUGUUGGUGGGGUAGUGGCUUACCAAGGCUUUGACGGGUAGCCGGCCUGGGAGGGUGACCGGCCACAUUGGGACUGAGAUACGGCCCAGACUCCUACGGGAGGCAGCAGUGGGGAAUAUUGCACAAUGGGCGAAAGCCUGAUGCAGCAACGCCGCGUGCGGGAUGACGGCCUUCGGGUUGUAAACCGCUUUCGCCUGUGACGAAGCGUGAGUGACGGUAAUGGGUAAAGAAGCACCGGCUAACUACGUG